GCGGCGUGUGAUUGGCGGGCCGAGUGGGCUGUUCCAGGCUGGGCGAGCGGUUCAGCCGGGGUCCCGGGGAGGUUAAUUUUCAACCGAGGAAAGAGGAGCCGAGGCUCGGCCUUCCUUGGCCGUCUGGCCAGCUGCAAUAAGGACUAGCGACACACGUGUGCGACAGCUGAAAUGUCCGAGUCUGGACGUGGAACUGCGCAAAUAGAGUUGGACGUGAGCAUGGAACAAGAGUCAGUGGAGGAGGAGGAAGAAGAAGAAGAAUGAUUAGCAUGAUGGCUACAAUCCAUUUAGAUGACGCCCGGGAGAGAGAGAGCUGCCGACGGACAGGCAGAAGAGAACAGCAGAUAGCCAUUGAGUGCGGCUACGUCAAUGCAGUAAUGAAGUCACUGGCUUCCAAACAGCAAAUAAGAGAGAUGCAGCUGUCUGCCGUCUGUGCCGCAGACACUCGGUCAGGAUGGUGGGGAGGAAGGGGGCGGGGGGGCGCUGAUCUCCCUGUCUGACACUUGUAACUGAGCCAAACACACACACACACACACACACAAUUCCCUCGCCGCUUUUACGUCGGCGAGGCUGAAAAUAUCAGGUCACAGCGUCUGAGUCUCUGUUCAAUGAAAACAAAGCUUACGUGACAAAACGUGUGUGACAAGGUUUAAGACACAAGAGGUGCCUCGGCACAGGUCCGCUAAACUGGGCCACUGCCAUGCUACAGUCUUAUGGCCACAAUAAAAAGAGGAGGAAAAAAAGUUGGAAAUCUAUUAGUCAUAAUACUAGGAGAGAAAAAAAUACGGGUUUUUUUUCAUUGAAAAAUAAUCCAUUCAAAUGCUCGCUUUUAUUUUUUUCUCCGAAAAGUACAACAGGAAUAAAAAUGAUCACUUUUUGCUACAAUAAAA